rnacentral:rRNA from 1 species
GACGAACGCUGGCGGCGUGCCUAAUACAUGCAAGUCGAACGCAGUGGGGACGGGUGAGUAACACGUGGGUAACCUCCCAUCAGAGGGGAUAACACUUGGAAAAAGGUGCUAAACCGAUACUGAUGGAUGGACCCGGUGUGCAUUAGCUAGUUGGUGGGGUAACGGCUCACCAAGGCCACGAUGCAUAGCCGACUGGAGAGGGUGAUCGGCCACACUGGGACUGAGACACGGCCCAGACUCCUACGGGAGGCAGCAGUAGGGAAGCUUCGGCAAUGGACGAAAGUCUGACCGAGCAAGGCCGCGUGUGUGAAGAAGGUUUUCGGAUCGUAAAGCUCUGUUGUUAGAGAAGCGGUAUCUAACCAGAAAGCCACGGCUAACUACGUGCCAGCAGCCGCGGUAAUUC